AUCCUGGCUUAGGACGAACGCUGGCGGCGUGCCUAAUACAUGCAAGUCGAACGGUCUUUUCUAUGGAAGCUUGCUUCCACUGAGAAGAUAGUGGCGAACGGGUGAGUAACACGUGGGUAACCUGCCCAUAAGAGGGGGGAUAACAUCCGAAACGGGUGCUAAUACCGCAUAGUUUUCUUGAUCGCAUGAUCGGGAAAGGAAAGACGGCCUUUGUGCUGUCGCUUAUGGAUGGACCCGCGGCGUAUUAGUUAGUUGGUGAGGUAACGGCUCACCAAGACGAUGAUACGUAGCCGACCUGAGAGGGUGAUCGGCCACAUUGGGACUGAGACACGGCCCAAACUCCUACGGGAGGCAGCAGUAGGGAAUCUUCCGCAAUGGACGAAAGUCUGACGGAGCAACGCCGCGUGAGUGAAGAAAGGUUUUCGGAUCGUAAAACUCUGUUGUCAGAGAAGAACAAGUUGGAGAGUAACUGCUCCAGCCUUGACGGUAUCUGACCAGAAAGCCACGGCUAACUACGUGCCAGCAGCGGC
rnacentral:rRNA from 1 species